rnacentral:rRNA from 1 species
AACGUAGGAGGCAAGCGUUAUCCGGAGUUACUGGGCGUAAAGCGCGUGUAGGCGGGUUGGUAAGUUACUUAUGAAAGCUCCUGGCUAAACUAGGAGAGGUUGAGUGAUACUGCCAGUCUUGAAUAGAGGAGAGGUUGACGGAAUUCCGCGUGUAGUGGUGAAAUGCGUAGAGAUGCGGAAGAACACCAGUGGCGAAGGCGGUCAACUGGCCUCAUAUUGACACUCAGACGCGAAGGCAUGGGUAGCGAACGGG